UAACUGUCGGAAUUGUUUUGA
rnacentral:piRNA from 1 species